rnacentral:rRNA from 1 species
AUUGAACGCUGGCGGCAUGCCUAACACAUGCAAGUCGAACGGCAGCACAGCAGUAGCAAUACUGUGGGUGGCGAGUGGCGGACGGGUGAGGAAUACGUCGGAAUCUGCCCAGUCGUGGGGGAUAACUAGCCGAAAGGUUAGCUAAUACCGCAUACGACCGAGAGGUGAAAGCGGGGACCGCAAGGCCUCGCGCGAUUGGAUGAGCCGACGUCGGAUUAGCUAGUUGGCGGGGUAAAGGCCCACCAAGGCGACGAUCCGUAGCUGGUCUGAGAGGAUGAUCAGCCACACUGGAACUGAGACACGGUCCAGACUCCUACGGGAGGCAGCAGUGGGGAAUAUUGGACAAUGGGCGCAAGCCUGAUCCAGCAAUGCCGCGUGUGUGAAGAAGG